AGUUCUACGUGUAUAAAUAAAAAUGCAAAAAUAUAUAGUAUAUAUGGCGUAAACUUUACAUAUCUGCUUAUGUGUUAUUUGUUCAGCUACGUCGAAAUCGAAAGAGUAUAAGAAAUAACCUCAAAAUGAAUUUUAAGAAGUGCUGUUUGAUAUAUAAUAUUAUGAAGGGCCCGCGUUUGGAGAUGUCUCAAAAAAACUAGAGCUUAUUAUUUGGAUAUGAAAAUUUAGUUUUCGACAAUGCUACAAGAUACUAAAGGAUUGGAUUCUAAGUCUCGGUUUGAAUCCUAAAUUGCCUCGAAUAACAUAUGUGAUUAAUAUGAAAGAAUAUCGAGAGGCUUUUAACAGCAAAACAAGGAAUAAAUGAAAGGUGGAAUAAUACAUACUGAAUGGGCUACAAUGGAAUUAAGACAAAUUGUGAAUAUUGAGAAUGAAGAUGUUGG